UACAGAGGUCUCAAGCGUUGUUCGGAUUCAUUGGGCGUAAAGGGUGUGUAGGUGGCGCGUUAAGUCGGGUGUGAAAUUUCGGAGCUUAACUCCGAAACUGCAUUCGAUACUGGCGUGCUUGAGGACUGGAGAGGAGACUGGAAUUUACGGUGUAGCAGUGAAAUGCAUAGAUAUCGUAAGGAAGACCAGUGGCGAAGGCGGGUCUCUGGACAGUUCCUGACGCUGAGGCACGAAGGCCAGGGGAGCAAACGGG
rnacentral:rRNA from 1 species